rnacentral:rRNA from 1 species
UACGUAGGGUGCAAGCGUUGUCCGGAAUUAUUGGGCGUAAAGAGCUCUGUAUGGACGGGUUUGUCGCGUCUGCUGUGAAAACUCGGGGACUUAACGUCCGGCCCGUGCAGUGGGUUAACGGGCAGACUAGAGUGCGUAGGGGAGACUGGAAUUCCUGGUGUAGCGGUGAAAUGCGCAGAUAUCAGGAGGAACACCAGUGGCGAAGCGCUUUCUGGCCUGUUCUUGACGCUGAGGCGCGAAAGCUAGGGGAGCAAACGG